CAAUGUAGAGGAAGAUUGGCACAGAUGUUAGCUAAGGGCAUAUCUUCCUCAACAAUAACAAUAAAAGGGUAGUCUCAACUUGACCCAUACCACUGGAUCCCUACAAAUUUAACUGAGGUAGAAGGUUCCUGAAUUUUAGUCAGACUUAUUUCCCACCCCCUGGUAUGUAGAUGUCUUACGAAGAAGUCUAGAGUAGUUGGUUCUUCUCGCUCAGUAGGUCCAAUCAGCACAAUGUCAUCAGUGUAAUGGAUCAGUGUGAUGUCUAGUGGAAGGGAAAGAGGAUCAGGAUCUUGGAGAACUAAAUUAUGACAUAGGGCUGCAGAGUUCAUAUACCUCUGAAGUAGGUAGGUGUAUUGCCAGCCUUGUCAGCUGAAAGCAAAUUGCUUUGUGUGGACCUGGUAGACAGGGAUGGAGAAAAAGGCAUUUCCCAGAUCAAUAGCUACAUACCAGGUACCAGGGGAUGUGUUAAUUUGCUCAAGGAAUGAAACCACAUCUGGUACAACAACUGUAAUUUGAGUCAACACCUGGUUCAGCUUACAAUAAUCUACUGUCAUUCUCCAAGAUCCAUCUGUCUUCUGCACAGGUCAAAUAGGCAGUUGAAUGGGGAUGUGGUGGGAAUCACCACCCCUGCAUACUUCGAGUCCCUGAUGGUGGCACUAAUUUUUGUAAUCCCUCCAGAAAUGCAGUAUUGCUUUUGAUUUACUAUUUUACUAUUUUCUUAGGUAGAGGAAGUUCUAAUGUCUUCUAUCUGGCCUUUCCCACCAUAAUAGCCCUCUCUCCACAGGUCAGGGAACCAAUGUGGGGAUUCUACCAGCUGCUGAGUAUAUGUAUUCCAAUUAUGCAUUCUGGAACUGGGGAAAUAAUCACAGGAUGGUUUGGGGACCCAUGGGACCAACUGUGAGAGAGACCUGAGUUAAAACUCUAUGGAUGACCCAACUUCCAUAAACCCCUACUCUGACUGGUGGGCCACAGUGACAUUUGGGGUAUCCUGGAAUUAGUGGCAAUCCAGAGCCAGUGUCCAGCCGUCCCUGAAAGUUCUGAUGAUUUUCUUUUCCCCAAUGCACAGUCACCCUGGUAAAAGUCCAUAGGUCCCUUUGGGGAAGGCUGAGAGAAAGAUUAACAGUGUAAAAUUUUGGUAGUGUACCUGGUCCUUUCUCAAGGGAACCCAGCCUUCCCUUCAUUUAAGGACUUCUAGGUCUGUAAAUGCGCUCAAAUCUGGGAAUUGAUUGAGGGACUGUGACUCUGUUUUUAUAGUUCAGGUUAAAUUUUUAGUCACUUGGCUUAGAACUUUUCUGCUUAUACAGAUUGAGUAAGAAUUUUGAAGGCUUUCUGUGUAUUUCACUUGUAAGAACACCAUGAUGAACUAGCCAGUGCCAUAGGUCACUGUGAGUCAGACUAUUCUGAAUACUGCUUUGAUUCUUUUGUCUGUUAUGGUAAUCAUGCCCAUCUUGCCUUUGGCUGUUGAGUGCUGCCACUUGGCCCCUGCUACCUCAGGCUCCAAUUACUCUCACUGAAUUUAGGUUUCCCAGUGGAGUGGCUGCCGUUCCCACCCUCAGGUCUGGCCUGCAGAGAAGAGCAAUCAUGGAGCCCUUCAAGGAUGCUGGGGCUCCCCUCAUAAACUUAUUUCUCUCAGUCUUGAUGGAAGGUAUGUCUUCUGCACCUUCUCAGUGUGAGUGAAUAGGUCUUAAAUACUAAUCCACUCUAACAUUUCAGUCUCUCCAAGCCUUGAAUACCUUCCUCUUCAUUACAUAAAGCAGGUCAGGCAUUUCUAGUUCACUCACUGUGAGCCAUCUUUUGGUCCAUGUUUCAGCCAACCACCAAACAAACUUUUAGAGCCCUUUCUAACUCCCCAAGUUGCAAUAUUAAAUGCAGAAUCUCUGCUUGGUGAGCCCAAAUCCAUAAAUUCGGCCUGAUACACCUUUGUGUUCCUUCCACCAUUCUCCCACACCCUUAGUAUCUAUUCCUACUAAAUGUUCCCUUCAUUUCCAUCUGUAUAAAUUAGAAAACUCUAGUAGUUCUUUUGGAGUGUGGUGUACUUCCUCAUGGGUCACAUUUUGUAUGUCAUCUUUAGGGGCCUGUUGGGACUUGCGUCUAGGUCUUGGUCUGGAAGCAAAGAAGAGUGGUGGAGGUGGGUCCUGAGGAGAAGUAGUAUGGUCUUGUAUGGCAACUGCCUCAGAGGAGGCCUUUAUAAUUUCCUUGGGCAAUGCGGUUAAUCCCCCUAGAUUCCGGUGCAAAGGCCUAUACCACUAUGGGUGGAGAUGCUGCUGCCACUGAAGGGAGUGAGGCCAAUUCCACUGAGGAUGGGGAGACCUCUUCCAUUGGCAAAGAAGAUUCAUCAGAAUUUAGGGACUCAAUUGUCCCAGCUUCAUCAAGGUCUUCCCACAUGUCCCCAUCCCAAUUUACAGGAUCCCAUUCUUUCCCAAUCAAUGCCCUCACUUUAACAGUAGACUCCCUGUGAGUCUGAGGGUUUAACUUGUGUUGUAAUUCAACCAGUUGCAGGAUGAGGUUCUGUGUUUGAUUUUAAGUAAUUUCAGCAUUGCAGCUACAGGAACUAGUGUUUCCUUUAGGGCACACAUAAAAGCUCUUAGGUCAUUUACAUGGUACUUGAGCUGGGAAUUCAAAUCCUUGAGCUCAUGCUUUUCUUUCAUGAAAAGAAAAGCCAGUAACUUUAGGAGCAACCAACCAGUGUCAUUAUAUUCAUCAGUUUUUCAAAAAAUGUUUGAAAGUGUCAUAUACAGAGUACCUCAUUGUUUCUUAUAAGUGGUUGAUUAGGCAUAUCCAAUGCAGAUAUUUUACAUAUCUCUACAAACAGUUCAUGCCUAUUUACUUCUGGAAAUGGAGUUUACUAUUUAUCAGUGCUCUAUUUACUUCUGGAAAUGGAAUCUCUAGCAUCUUUAAAUCUAAUCAGAUUAGAAAGCCAAUUCCAGAAACCCUAGACCCACUUGCAACCAAGGUAAUUCCUUGUUAUAUGAUAUAAUAACUAUUCUCAUUACUUGAACUACAUUUGGUUGUUUUCUGUUUACUUGCAGUCAAAAGCACCUAUCAUAACUCACAUAGUUAUGCCAACUGAUUAGGGCCAUUAAAGCAUAGUGUGUAAGGUAUUGAAUUGCCAAUAUAAUUUAUUACCUAUAAUCAGCAUAUAAUUUACAUAAGUUAGCAUGUUUAUUGUGUGAUGUCUUUAUCAAAAUAUCAGAAUUGGUCUGGGGCAUGACCCACAUUCACUUCAGGCCUCACCUGCUUAGAACCACAGGGAAACUUCCACUUUAACAUUCAGUCCUUACUUGAUUAAUCCCUUGUUUGUUCUUCCUUUAGAAAAUAACCCCCAGGAAGGGACUGGAAUGAGGAAAUAGAGAGCUGACCAAAGGCUAGACAGCUUCUUGUUCCUGACACUGGUCUAGAUGUACUUGCACCAAAAGAUGGGUACCUGCACUAUAAGAGUAGUGGCCCCAGUGAAGGGGGGGGACAGAGUAAGUUUCAGGAGAAGAAGGCACUGAAGUGAUAGGAAAUGACCAGAUAUGAAAUAUAAAGCAGACUUGAGAGGUGAAGGAAGGCAUCUGAGAGGGUUCCAGUGUUUUAGCCUUGGGAAACUGUUCCACCUGAAUUCUUAUAAAACGUUGCCACCCUGUCUGUAGGCAACUCUGACAGUAAGGUCCCAUCCAGCUCAGGCAGCCACUCCUGGACUUGGUGCUGCUGUUGGCUGACACUUGGGUUGUCACUGCAUCUCUCUAUCUCACAGGAUCACUGCUAGAUAAACCACCUACCUGUAUGCGAGCUUUCGACUCAUACUAGAGCACGGCGGGAAGGAUCCAGUAGAAAAGGAAAGAUGAAGACACAGAAGAGGGAAGGGAGAACUGAUGGAGCAAGGCCGCUGAGAAGGCCUUGCUCAUGUGCAUGAGCUCAUCGAGGAUACAAAUCAACUCGAAGGAGGUUGGUGGUAUUCCCAGUGCAUAGACAAGGCAACUGGAUGAACAGACUAAGUCCCAGCAAGUCUAAAUUGCCUAUUCAAGAGCUUCCAGCAGGUCGCUGGCAGAACAGGAGCCAUCCCAUCUCAUAAUGUGAUUCUUAGGUCUAUGAACUUGAGAAGCAAUGAGUCAUGGGCCUGGUACCCAAAUCGAAGCAUGUGCAUUUGAUGAGAGCAGGGACCUGGCCUCACUGAUACACGGCUACAUCCCUGUGGACCAACAACAGAGCUUGACACACAGUAGGUGCUCAAUAAUUGCAGCCUAAAUGAAUGAAUAAGUAAUUUAGAACAACGUUUGCUAUGUUUAUGGCGAGGAUAAUCAUCAAUAAGAGCUAACAUUUCUUGACGUUAGCCGUGUUUUGGAUACUGCUACGGACUUUACAUACAUUGCCUCAUUUAAUUUAAUUUUUUAUUAUUAAAGUCUCAAAAAGCAGGCACUAGUGUUGACUGCUUGGAAGUUGUGGCAUUAAAUAUAUCUUCCUAAAAUUGGGGAAACUGAAUGAAACCUAGACUUGACUUCCCUAAAGGAAAGCCCUGAGUGGCCUUCUGCACGAAGUGGUCCACACUGGCUGAGGAUUGCCAGGAUCCAGGCUGAACUGGUUGGACCAGGGAAACUACUAUACUCAAUACAGUGUCUUGACGCCCUUGCCAGUUUUCCUUUGGGCACGUGAAUAGGGACAGCCAGACUUAGGGUGAUGUCUUGGAAUGAAAUAUCCUGAUACAUUUUUCUAAGUGACGACGGAAAUGUUAACUCUUGUCCUUUACCCCUUGCAUGGCCUGCAAAACCACUAGUAACAGAAAAUAACUUGUGUACAGAAGAACAUGAUGCCAACCAGAGAACAAUCCUUGAUCUUCUCAGUUUUGACCAAAGAAACAAAGCAAAUAGACCAAUUUUGACCUCAGUCAUUUGGUACAUUUCAUGUUGCCUACAAAAGAUAAAGGUCGAUCAACUUCCCUCACGAUAGCAACUCAAUACUUCUGCUCAAUUUUUUUCCAGUUUAAAGUGUCCCAAAGUGCUCGGUCCCUAUUCCACUCUCCACCUUGGUUUCCACUAGUUCCACACGUUCAAACCAAACAGCUGCACUCGGCUGACUCAGUAGGACUGGGCCCCCCCCCAGCUGAUCAGGAAGUCAGCCGGAAAGCACUUCUAUAAUGAGAAACAGGAGGAUGGAGGGAAAAACAACUUGAGUAAAUGCAUUUCAAUCCAGAGAAGAGCUUUUAAAAAACCGUUUAACAUUUAAAGUUCUAUUAUUAUUUUUGGCAGCAUGUUGAGUCCAUGUCUCUUUUUUGGCUACUUUUCUAGUACUUUUUGUAUCUGGAAGCAAAAUUCGCAACCGAUUUCAGUAACUCGGAGAAAGAUUUUUCAGUGUAAUUAUAGGAGGUAUUUAAAUGCUAUCUAAAUGUUAUUUUGUAUACUCACCAAGUAAGAGGCACAACUUAAAAUGACUAUAUAAGUGACCUAUAAUAUAAUUUAUGUUUAUGUCAUUGACAUAGAAAAUGCCUUAAGCAUUAGUCAUUGCAGAAUUAAUUGUAUAACUAAAAACAAACAAAAAAACAAAUCCAAUGUCAAUUACCCAAAAAUUCCAAAUUAAUUACCCAACACAAAAUACAGAUGGUAGGGCCUGGUAUAUUUAUUUUAAUAAACUUUUUAUUAGGAAAAAUUUCAAAUGCAUUCAAGAGUAGAGAGACUAUGUACCUAUCAUCUACCUUCAACAAUUAUCCAUUUAUUGACCCUGGGCAUUGAUGGUGAGAGGAGGGGUUGAUGGUAUGGCCCUUGUGAUAGCUGGAAAGGCAAAACAAUUGUCUAUCAUGGCAGGGAUGGGUCUAUAACCGAUUACCCAUAUUAAUUAUUUGAAGCCAUGGGUAAAAUAGGUAGUUCACAAGCUUAAUUCUGACUUCUGCUUUAACUCAGGCAAAAAAAAAUUCAAGUUUAUCAGCAUUAUUUUCUACCAUGAGCCUAUCAUUGUCCUACAUAUUGUGGUGAACAUAAAGUCGUCAUUAAAAUAUUGGAAUCGUACAUAGUUUCCAUUGGGGGGACUUCCACAUAUAGUCUCUCCAUUACCCUGCCCUGCUCUGCAUCCUGGGAGGCCGAUUUCUACGAAGUUAAAAGUCCCCCUGCCUUCUGGCUUCUGUUGGGUUGAGCCAAGCGGUGGCAGGCAGAGGGACACCAGCAGAACACCGGAGAGUGGGAAGCUAAGUGGAGAGGGUACAGGCUCAUACAGGAUGUGAGGAAGUGCUACGGGGCCUUGACUAUCCAGCCAAUGAGUUAUAUCUGGUUCAAAAGCAAUAACGUGUGCAACAUCACUGAUCAUUAGGGAAUUGCAAAUUAAACCAAAAUGAGAUAUGUCAUACCCAUUAGGAUGGCUAUUAUCGAAAAAACGGAAAAUAACAAACAACUGUUGAUGAGGAUGUACAGAAAUUGAAACCUUUGUGCAUUGCUGGUAGAGAUGUAAAAUGGUGCAGCUGCUGUGGAAAACAGUAUAACAGUUCCUCAAAAAAUGAAACGUAGAAUUACCAUAUGAUCCAGCAAUUCCACUACUGGGUAUAUUACCAGAGAAUUGGUAUAUAAUUUACCCAAAAGAAUUCAAAGCAGAGACUUAAGCAGAUAUUUGUAUACCAAUGU